CAUUCCACAAGUAAAAUUGAGAAUUCAACACUCCUCGAUCGCGAAAAUCGUAUAACUAGAUUUCGAUUUCCUGAAAAACAGUGAUAGGUACCUAGCCUAAUAAUGUGUAGUUACAGCUUUGUUUCAAUUUUCGCGUUUAUUUUGGCGUUUUACGUUUCUACGGGAAACGCUGAUGGUACGCCGGAGCUAAAUUGUUACGAUUGUGAAAGUUUUAGUUAUCAUCCACAGCGAGACUGUAUAAAUGUGAAUUCAAGAACCAGGACAUCAAAGACAACAACAGAUAUUAUGCUUUGGGCCUCUACGCCGCAAGCAUGCGUAUACAAAAAAACACCCUUGGAAGAUGGCUCAUAUGUUAUACAACGACUAUGGUAUUCCGCACAAAGUAUAAGAACUUAUUGUUCAGAUUAUAAAGCGGAAUUUCCAGGAUCGGAAUGCAAAAUGUGUUUCACAGAUUUAUGCAAUUCUUGGUCUGACAGCCUCCAGGCACCUCCAACCACGUAAUCACCAAAGGCAAAAUCGAAAGAAACCACAAUUGAUGGUACUCGCUACCUCUGUUAUCCAAGGGUGUAAACCUCAACUACAGAUAGGUAACAGAAAACCGUAACCAAACGAACAACCACCAUGCCAUGAUUCUCCUCAACUCCAACCAUGUUAUCACCUACUUACAAUCACAUCACUACCAGAGAUGGAACAGAUCGAAAUCUGGAUUAAGAGUAAUUCAUUACCUUUGUUAUCAUCAGUAACGAUUUUUAAUGAAAACUGUGAACUUUGGACAGGGAUUUUGCAAAAACUAUUGGAUGGAUUUUUGUGGAGUUUGGUUCAUUCUAUUCAGUCUACAAAUAAAAAUUGAAAAAUUAUAAUAACUUUGACUAUUUCCCAGUAAAAAAUAUAACAAUAAUAAAACCAAGGAUCUCUUUC